GGGUCUGUAGCUCAGUUGGUUAGAGCGCACCCCUGAUAAGGGUGAGGUCGGCGGUUCAAAUCCACCCAGACCCA
rnacentral:tRNA from 1 species